UACGUAGGGGGCAAGCGUUGUCCGGAAUCAUUGGGCGUAAAGCGCGCGUAGGCGGCCCUGUAAGUCCGCUGUAAAAGUCAAAGGCUCAACCUUUGAAAGCCGGUGGAUACUGCAGGGCUAGAGUCCGGAAGAGGCGAGUGGAAUUCCUGGUGUAGCGGUGAAAUGCGCAGAUAUCAGGAAGAACACCUAUGGCGAAGGCAGCUCUCUGGGACGGUACUGACGCUGAGACGCGAAAGCGUGGGGAGCGAACAGG
rnacentral:rRNA from 1 species